rnacentral:tRNA from 1 species
GCUAGUGAAGCAAAAUUGGAUAUGCAAGAGACCUAAGCCCUCUGAUUAAGGGGUUCAAGCCCCCUCACUAACU